UACGUAGGUGGCGAGCGUUAUUCGGAUUUAUUGGGCGUAAAGGGUUCGUAGGGGGUACUGUAAGUCUGAUGUGAAAUCCCACGGCUCAACCGUGGAACUGCAUUGGAUACUGCAGUACUAGAGUCCUGGAGAGGUAAGCGGAAUUCCUGGUGUAGCGGUGGAAUGCGUAGAUAUCAGGAGGAACACCAAUGGCGAAGGCAGCUUACUGGACAGGUACUGACCCUGAGGAACGAAAGCUAGGGGAGCAAACAGG
rnacentral:rRNA from 1 species